rnacentral:rRNA from 1 species
UACGUAGGGUGCGAGCGUUAAUCGGAAUUACUGGGCGUAAAGCGUGCGCAGGCGGCUUCGCAAGUCAGACGUGAAAUCCCCGGGCUUAACCUGGGAAUGGCGUUUGAAACUACGGAGCUGGAGUGUGGCAGAGGGAGGUAGAAUUCCACGUGUAGCGGUGAAAUGCGUAGAUAUGUGGAGGAAUACCGAUGGCGAAGGCGGCAUCCUGGACCGAGAUUGACGCUGAGGCGCGAAAGCCAGGGGAGCAAACGGG